rnacentral:rRNA from 1 species
GGCGACCGGCGCACGGGUGAGUAACACGUAUCCAACCUGCCGAUGACUCGGGGAUAGCCUUUCNAAAGAAAGAUUAAUACCCGAUGGCAUAAUUCUUCCGCAUGGUAGAAUUAUUAAAGAAUUUCGGUCAUCGAUGGGGAUGCGUUCCAUUAGGUUGUUGGCGGGGUAACGGCCCACCAAGCCUUCGAUGGAUAGGGGUUCUGAGAGGAAGGUCCCCCACAUUGGAACUGAGACACGGUCCAAACUCCUACGGGAGGCAGCAGUGAGGAAUAUUGGUCAAUGGACGAGAGUCUGAACCAGCCAAGUAGCGUGAAGGAUGACUGCCCUAUGGGUUGUAAACUUCUUUUAUACGGGAAUAAAGUGAGGCACGUGUGCCUUUUUGUAUGUACCGUAUGAAUAAGGAUCGGCUAACUCCGUGCCAGCAGCCGCGGUAAUACGGAGGAUCCGAGCGUUAUCCGGAUUUAUUGGGUUUAAAGGGAGCGUAGGCGGACGCUUAAGUCAGUUGUGAAAGUUUGCGGCUCAACCGUAAAAUUGCAGUUGAUACUGGGUGUCUUGAGUACAGUAGAGGCAGGCGGAAUUCGUGGUGUAGCGGUGAAAUGCUUAGAUAUCACGAAGAACUCCGAUUGCGAAGGCAGCCUGCUGGACUGUAACUGACGCUGAUGCUCGAAAGUGUGGGUAUCA